rnacentral:rRNA from 1 species
AACGAACGCUGGCGGCAGGCCUAACACAUGCAAGUCGAGCGCCCCGCAAGGGGCGCGGCGGACGGGUGAGUAACGCGUGGGGAUAUGCCCUUUGCUACGGAAUAGUCUCGGGAAACUGGGGGUAAUACCGUAUACGCCCUCUGGUGGAAAGAUUUAUCGGCGAAGGAUUAGCCCGCGUUGGAUUAGGUAGUUGGUGGGGUAAUGGCCUACCAAGCCGACGAUCCAUAGCUGGUUUGAGAGGAUGAUCAGCCACACUGGGACUGAGACACGGCCCUGACUCCUACGGGAGGCAGCAGUGGGGAAUCUUAGACAAUGGGGGCAACCCUGAUCUAGCCAUGCCGCGUGAGUGAUGAAGGCCGUAGGGUUGUAAAGCUCUUUCAGCUGGGAAGAUAAUGACGGUACCAGCAGAAGAAGCCCCGGCUAACUCCGUG